AUACAGAGGGUGCAAGCGUUAAUCGGAAUUACUGGGCGUAAAGCGCGCGUAGGUGGUUAGUUAAGUUGGAUGUGAGAGCCCUGGGCUCAACCUGGGAAUGGCAUUCAAAACUGGCUGACUAGAGUAUGGUAGAGGGAAGGGGAAUUCCAGGUGUAGCGGUGAAAUGCGUAGAUAUCUGGAGGAACAUCAGUGGCGAAGGCGCCUUCCUGGACUAAUACUGACACUGAGGUGCGAAAGCGUGGGUAGCAAACAGGAUUAGAAACCCUAGUAGUCC
rnacentral:rRNA from 1 species